UGAGUUUGAUCCUGGCUCAGAGUGAACGCUAGUAGUAUGCUUUACACAUGCGAGUUGAAUAAGUUUUAUGGCGAACGGGUGAGUAAUAUACAAGAAAUUGCCCUUUAGUUCAGAAUUUAAAUGCUGAAUAAUCAAAAAUUGAUAUUGCUAAAGGAUAUGCUUGUAGAAGAUUAGGUAGUUGGUGGGGUAAAAGCCUACCUAGCCGACAAUCUUUAGUUGAUUUGUAAGAAUGAUCAACCACAUUGGGACUGAGACAAGGCCCAAGCUUUUAUUUGAAGCCAGCAGUGAGGAAUAUUGGACAAUGAGCGAAAGCUUGAUCCAGCAAUACUACGUGAGGGAUGACAGCUUAUUUUGGUUGUAAACCUCUUUUAUUAGGGAAGAUAAUGACUUACCUAAAGAAAAAGUCCCGGCUAACUUCGUGCCAGCAGCCGCGGUAAUACGAAGGGGGCAAGCGUUAUUCGAUGUGAUUUGGUGUAAAGGGUUCGUAGGCGGUAUUAAGGCUGUUUAAAGUUAAAUUGAGAGACUCAAUCUCUUUUAAAAAAUUUAAAAACGCUUUUACUUGAGUAUAAAAAAAGAUUUUAGAAUUCUAAAGGUAGGAGUAAAAUUCGAAGAGCUUUAGAGGAAUAUCAAAAGCGAAAGCAAAAAUCUGGUUUAUUUUUACUGACGUUGAGGAACGAAAGAAUAGGUAGCAAACAGGAUUAGAGACCCUGGUAGUCUAUUCCGUAAACGAUGAGUGCUCGUUUUUAGAAUUUUUAUUUUAGAAACCAAGCUAACGCGUUAAGCACUCCACCUGAAGAGUAUAGUCGCAAGGCUGGAACUCAAAGGAAUUGACGGGGGCCUAUACAAGUGGUGGAGCAUGUGGUUUAAUGCGAUAAUACGCGCGAAACCUUACCAGCUUUUGAUUUUUUAUUUUCAAUAUUAACAGGUGUUGCAUGGCUGUCGUCAGCUCGUGUUGUGAAAUGUUUGGUUAAGUCCUUUAACGAGCGCAACUCUUUUCUUUAAUUGCCAGUUUUUUAGUACUUUAAAGAGAUAUUUAUGAUGAGUAAAUGGAAGAAGAAUUAUGUCAAGUCCUCAUGGCCCUUAUAAGCUGGGCUACACACGUGCUACAAUGGUAAUUACAAAGGGCAGCAAUAACUCAAGUUGGAGCAAAUCCUAAAAAAUUAUCUCAGUUCGGAUUGUUGACUGCAACUCGUCAACAUGAAGUUGGAAUCACUAGUAAUCGUAAAUCAGCAUGUUACGGUGAAUUUGUACCUAGGCCUUGCACACACCGCCCGUCACAUGCCGGAAGUUAGUUUUACUUUAAGAAACUUAAAACAAUUUAGGAGAUUUUUCUCGUUUUAAUUAGGAUUAUCGCCUAAAAGUUUAAUUUCCAAAGAGAGGUUA
rnacentral:rRNA from 1 species